rnacentral:lncRNA from 1 species
AAUCCCCCUGCCUUGCUGUUGCACCGCUCCAGCAUAAUCCUUUAUGGCAACCAGCUCAGUCCGCCUAUAAAUAGGCCCAGGGAUUCCCUUCGCCCUUUCUCCACCUCCAUAGAACCCCCAAUUCGUUGCCUAGCCCAAGGUCGGCUCCAACCGUCCGAUCCAUCUCGGAUCACACAGAAAUUUGUCGUGUGUGAGAUCCCUUUCCGCCCCAAACCUCAUAUGUUUCCUCCUGGUGUUUCCACCACCCUAAACUGCACGUCAGUUUGACGUAUGUUUCCGAUUGUGAGCUCGAUCUCUGCCCGAAGCUGUUGUUCGCCAGAGUUGAAGCUACCAGCGCCGUGGUGCUCGCCAACGACCAGCUCCACAACCCAGCGAUGCGGAAGGACCUCCUCAACACACCCACGCCAUCCUCUUCCACUAGUAUGCCGCCGAUCAUCGCUCGUAACCAUCGUCGUUCUCAGCCGUCAUUGAAAUUUCAAACCUAACGAGAGAGACCCACUCGUUAGGAUUCUAUUCUAUUCCAACUGUUUUCCAAAAGCGUAUUUGCCCCGAAGCCGUUUUCUUGUCUGGAUUGUGUAUCGAUCCCCAAACCAUUUUGUAUUUUCUUAGUCUACCCCCUAGGACUUAUUUGUUUAUUAUUGAAAGGUCCCUGACCUUAUUUCCCUUAUAACUUUUCAUUAGGAAAUGAUUUGACAUUGAUUCGUUUUGUGCAAAAAUUAUUUUUCAAUCUAGUUUUUGUAGUACUUAUCUAUAAAUAUUUCGGGACAACUUUAUAUACGAUCACAGUAUUUAUGUAGAUGUCGCAUAUUCCGUGGUAUAGAUACUGAAGGGGGGAACACUGCCGUCAAUUUCAUGGAUGCCUAAUAAAAUUUUCAUGCUUGUAGACAGAAUAACAUACUAUGGUUGUUAUAUUGCAUGCAUAGGUGCUUUGCAUAUGAGCUAGAAACUUGGGAAGUUCAUGAAAUGAUUUGCGACCUAGUCAUGUGGUGACGUGAUAGGUUAUGGCUUGGUCAUCUUGGAUCAUGCGAGUAAUAUAACAACCUAAGUAAAUCCAGUACCAGCAUAGACCAAGUCUUGUUCGAGUGGUACCUUAUUUUUCCCGUGCUACCACAUGUUUUCCCGCAAGGGGAUACAGUUUAGUAAGUUUCAAACUUGUUUCCUUGUACACACAAAACAGAAGGGUCGUGAUGAGGCUUCCACGGUCGUUGAAUAAUGCCAGUCAUCCAGUCAGGGAGCAUGGCUCAGGCUGAGAGGGGCACCCUUUAGUAGCACAUGGUAUAAAUUUGAUACCUUACUAUUUGAGGCAUCGGCAUCCCCGUUUUAUAGUUAUUCUUGUAUGUUACUUUGGGUGAAUCCGAGCAUCGUGAGGUGCAAUGGGUUUGUACCGGUUAGGUGUGUUUACUUACGAAAUACCGUAAGAGGAGUUAGUCAUUUUUGACAACUGAAAUCUGUUGGCUUUGGGUAAAGAGUACAACCUCUGGAGGGUCAAAACUACUCGAGUAGCUGAGUCCAUGGUCAAGGGCAUUUGCUUGAGAAGAAAAGUGUCGGUUUGAGUGUCGUCUCAAGAGAACAAAAAUCUCUAAAUGGUAGAAAUCAACCUAUGAUUUGUAUGAAUAUUAUUUAUGAUUCCUAACCCAUUUAACUGAUUGAUGCAAUGAGUAUGACUUAAGAUGGUCUUACCACCUAGAUAUUCACACUUUUAUUUUUGAAUAUAAGCACUUUAUGUGGUGUCGCCCCGACGCCCGACCCUGGAAGUUUAUACGUUUUACAUUUCGAGGCAUCGCUUAUGACCCCCGAUCGGUUUAUCUUAUUUUAUUUUUUACCUUUCGAGGGGUUGCCUCACACACUCAAUCGGUUUUUCUUAUUUUCUAUUUUAUGGUUCGAGGCAUCGCUUUAGACAACCGAUUGGUUUAUCUUACUUUUAAGUUUCACCCUUCGAGGUAUCGCUUCAGACACUCGAUCAAUACCUUUUAUUUUUAUGGAAAUCUCUAGUGGAUUACCACCCGACUUCUCCACUUCAUGUGUUAUUUGGUUUCACAGUUGAAACAUUACUAUUGUUGGAAUGUUAUAUUUAAUCUAGAUUGACUAUGUGCAUUAUGUGUGCAUUCAGUAUAUGUUAUGUCCAAACUUUCUUGCGGGUACAUUCGAAGUACUCACCUGGCUUGUUGAUUUGGGCACAUUUUGAUGAAGGCGAUCUUAUCGAUGAAGAUUACGCUAGCGAGUCUGGCACCUAGAGGAGUUACAGUCACUCAUUUGCGGUCGUGGAGACCAUGACUUGUAUUUUCCACCGAUGCUUCCGCCACACAAAUAAAAUAGUCGAGCCUCACCUUGAUGCUUGACUUGCUGUAAUAUAUUAGAGUCAUGCCGCCCACUCCAUUGUGGCAUAUCGACCACCACCAUAUAUUGGAAAUUAUAAGUAAUACCACCAUUUCCGCUGUCAAAUAUCCGCCUCUAUAAUAAAUAUUGACGUGCUUGUAAUAAAUUGUUGAGCAUGUGGAGCUCAAUCAUGUAUAAUAUGAA